rnacentral:rRNA from 1 species
UACGGGGGGGGCUAGCGUUGUUCGGAAUUACUGGGCGUAAAGGGCGCGUAGGCGGCCGCCUCAGUCGAACGUGAAAUCCCUCGGCUCAACCGGGGAAUGGCGUCCGAUACUGGGUGGCUGGAAUCCGGGAGAGGGAUGCGGAAUUCCAGGUGUAGCGGUGAAAUGCGUAGAUAUCUGGAGGAACACCGGUGGCGAAGGCGGCAUCCUGGACCGGCAUUGACGCUGAGGCGCGAAAGCCAGGGGAGCAAACGGG